rnacentral:misc_RNA from 1 species
GACAAAGUUUAUCCACUUGUAGGAGUUUUCCCCAUGUUUGUUGAGCUUCCUUGGGCACUUAGUCACAGUAUUAUGAAUUCCAUAUUGACUAUAGUUCUGUUAAAGUGAAGACCUAUAAGAAAAUAUGAAAAUUGUGAAGGAGAAUUGUAGUGCAGGUGCAUGCAAUGGCUUUGCAAGCAAGAUGGUAUUAUCAGCACAGUCAUGCACUUGCACCUCUCUCUUUUCCAACCAUGCGGUCCUUCUCUUGUAACUUAUUUGGCUAUUGUUCACAGAUGGGGGAAUACG